ensembl:lncRNA OSMR-DT OSMR divergent transcript
AACUUGGAAACCGAAAACUCGGCGGCCGAGGCUCCGUGCCCCGCGCGCAGCGCUGCUCCUGCCCCGGCCAAGGACGCACGGGCCAGCCGGCGGAACCAGAGGUUUUCAGUGAUGUUGAGAGUCAACAGGAAAUUAAUCAGCAAGUAGAAAAUUGAAAGAAGAUCUGCAUCUUACUGCAGGAGUCAUUAAAAUAAAAGCAGAUUUGGCAAAAUGGCAAGAACCAGAGGAUGAGGAUGUAAAACAAAAACUUUUGGAGUCAUUUUGCCACCAGGAUGAAAAUAGGAUGAAGCUGACAUGACAAAGGUGCAGGUGACAGCUUCUACCUUAUGAUCUGCGUUCCAGUCAGCGGGAAGGAGAUGGGGUGGGAAUGUGAUAAACCACUUCCCUUGAAGGACAUUUUCCAGAAGGUGAAUGCCACUUCUGUUUAUAUCCCAUUGGCCAGCACUUAGAUUUAUUUCCAAGAAGAAAAAAGGAGAACAGAUAUCAUGUUGACCAGCAGUCUCUGCCACAGACAGCUAAUCUCCACCUUCCACUAAGGCUGAGAAAUUACCAGCAUGGGAGGAAAAGGUGGUGCAGUUCAGCA